rnacentral:rRNA from 1 species
AACGAACGCUGGCGGCAUGCCUAACACAUGCAAGUCGAACGAGACCUUCGGGUCUAGUGGCGCACGGGUGCGUAACGCGUGGGAACCUGCCCUUAGGUUCGGAAUAACUCCCCGAAAGGGGUGCUAAUACCGGAUAAUGUCUUCGGACCAAAGAUUUAUCGCCUUUGGAUGGGCCCGCGUUGGAUUAGCUAGUUGGUAGGGUAAAAGCCUACCAAGGCGACGAUCCAUAGCUGGUCUGAGAGGAUGAUCAGCCACACUGGGACUGAGACACGGCCCAGACUCCUACGGGAGGCAGCAGUGGGGAAUAUUGGACAAUGGACGAAAGCCUGAUCCAGCAAUGCCGCGUGAGUGAUGAAGGCCUUAGGGUUGUAAAGCUCUUUUACCCGGGAUGAUAAUGACAGUACCAGGAGAAUAAGCUCCGGCUAACUCCGUG